UGAGUGUCAAUAAUUCUCACGAGUCAGCUUUUCUCUCUUUAGUUUUAUUUUCUCAAACUCUCACUAGAACCUUCAAACAAACUUCUAGUUUUCAGGUGGCCGGCGAACUCAUCGCUGUCGGUCGCCAGUCGCCACCCCUUCUUUUAUUUUUUGUUUGUCUUGUAGUAUAUAUUCGAUCUCCAGAACGAUUUCAAGCUUCCGGUUUGUUGGAUUCAAUGAAGAUUUAGGAGGAAGGAGACAACAAUUGGACUUUCGAGAGGUUAGUUAAUAUCGGAAUCUGAAGAUUCAAGACAGAAAAGGCGGUUCUAGACUGGCAAUAUAUUUUCCUUGUUACCUUUCACUCUACCACUCACAACACGAUACUGGACAGCCCAUCAAUGUCCACAGAGCAUUCGGAGCUGGAUGUUCUACAUGUCUUCACUUCGAGAGAGAUCCUAUCUUCAUUUUGGAUUGGAUAGUGGACUGUAGACUAAUUGUAUUAGGUUUUAUUUCAUUCCUCUUGUAAUCAAUAUGUCCAUUGGGCUUAUGCAAUGAAUAUAAUGUUGACAAAAAAAGAAUAUGUGACUGAAUCUGUCAUAUUGAUUUGAUGGA